AACGAACGCUGGCGGCAUGCCUAACACAUGCAAGUCGAAUGAUCCCUUCGGGGAUAGUGGCGCACGGGUGCGUAACGCGUGGGAACCUGCCCUUAGGUUCGGAAUAACUCAGAGAAAUUUGAGCUAAUACCGGAUAAUGUCUUCGGACCAAAGAUUUAUCGCCUUUGGAUGGGCCCGCGUUGGAUUAGCUAGUUGGUGGGGUAAAGGCCUACCAAGGCGACGAUCCAUAGCUGGUCUGAGAGGAUGAGCAGCCACACUGGGACUGAGACACGGCCCAGACUCCUACGGGAGGCAGCAGUGGGGAAUAUUGGACAAUGGGCGGAAGCCUGAUCCAGCAAUGCCGCGUGAGUGAUGAAGGCCGUAGGGUUGUAAAGCUCUUUUACCCGGGAUGAUAAUGACAGUACCGGGAGAAUAAGCCCCGGCUAACUCCGUG
rnacentral:rRNA from 1 species